AGGUGCUGUGCAAUGUGGAGUCUCAGGAUAUAUUUUACGAUAUCACUGACGCACUUGAGGCGCAGGGUAUUGAAACUUUGAACAAGGAAGUGUUGGAAAAAGAAGCAAGCAGUGAUGUGAUAGAGAAGAUAAAACUACAGAUAACUGCAUACAAUGCACAACUAAAGGCUGAGGA